rnacentral:rRNA from 1 species
ACCUGGUUGAUCCUGCCAGUAGUCAUAUGCUUGUCUCAAAGAUUAAGCCAUGCAUGUCUAAGUAUAAGCGAGUAUACUGCGAAACUGCGAAUGGCUCAUU